GGGGUUGUGGCUCAGUGGUAGAGCGCUUGCCUAGCACACAUGAGGUACUGAGUUCAAUCCUCAGAGCCACA
rnacentral:tRNA from 1 species